rnacentral:lncRNA from 1 species
CGGCAGCACUCCUUGGUCAGGCUGUGUCCUGCUCACACAGGUGCUCCCAUCAGGCACAGCAGCCGCACCUGGGCAGCUUUUCUCUGCCUGCUGGGAACCUGCUUGCCGAAACACUUUAAGCCACCAUUUAAAUGCUGCUUUAGAGACUUUUUGCCUUCAUUUUGAUUUAAGUUCAGAUCAGUACGUUGUCCUCUCCUUUAAACUGACGUCACUUUCUUUAGGAGCCUUAGCAUUACUCUAAACUGUGUCUUAAUUGCUGCUUACGCAUCCGUCAAAUGUGCACCAUCAUGAGUUCUCCAACAAACAACAGUGCAUUUUAUGAAUAAGAUCCUCACUUGCUACUGAGAACGAUAACAUUAGCUGGCAGCAUCUGGAUGCACUUCCAAAGUGAAGAUCCCGCUUUUCCCAGGCAAGGCUGAAAACACAGCUGGCAGAAGCUCGCCUGAAACCCACAGAAAGCUUUUCCCCCGUUCUUCGAACGCCAUCGUAAGCCAGCGAGCAGGAGGGAAGUUAAAGCUUACACAUCCCAGCACGCCAGCCCGUGCCCUACCGAGAUACUUGACUGUCUGGUGCUUCCAAGCAGCUGGAAAAAUGUCAAACUGUCAUCGCUGAUUAAAACGGGAUUUUACAGAGAGCAUCACACGCAUUGUCAGAACGCUAGGCUUCGUAUCGCACAACGGAAACACAGAAAGUCGUUACUUUCGAUUCACGGCAGAUUUUUGUCGCACCUCCCCCUGCGUUCUGCUACCACCCACGGCUGCGUUGCAUACGCACUCACCGGCCCCGCGCUGUGAGGGGACCCGGGGGCCGGGACACUGCAGCAGAGCCGCGGCCACAGCAGCGCACCCGCCCCACGCAGCACCACGAGACCUCGCGAGGGGAUUUACGGUCACUUACUCCAACGUGCCUCGCUCCUCAUCACACGGACCGCUUUGCGCACACGGUGUCCGAAGGCCGUGGGGGGACGGAGGACAGGCGGAAAUCGGGCGAAGGUGCCAAAUGACAUCCCUG